rnacentral:rRNA from 1 species
GUCCACGCCUAACGAUGUCGACUGGUUGUUGGGUUGACACUCUCAGUAACGAAGCUAACGCGUGAAGUCGACCGCCUGGGAGUACGGCCGCAAGGUUAAACUCAAAGGAAUUGACGGGACCCGCACAAGCGGUGGAUUAUGUGGAUUAAUUCGAUGCAACGCGAAACCUUACCUACCCUUGACAUGUCCGGAAGCCUGGGAAACCCGGUGUGCCCGAAAGGGAACUGGAACACAGGUGCUGCAUGGCUGUCGU